UUUUGCUGAGUAGCUAAAGAUGUGUGA
rnacentral:sRNA from 1 species